rnacentral:rRNA from 1 species
UGAGGAAUAUUGGUCAAUGGGAGAGAUCCUGAACCAGCCAAGCCGCGUGAGGGAAGACGGCCCUAUGGGUUGUAAACCUCUUUUGUCGGAGAACAAAACCUGGGACGUGUCCCGGACUGCGUGUAUCCGAAGAAAAAGCAUCGGCUAACUCCGUGCC